AAUGAACGCUGGCGGCAUGCCUAACACAUGCAAGUCGAACGAGACCUUCGGGUCUAGUGGCGCACGGGUGCGUAACGCGUGGGAAUCUGCCCUUGGGUCCGGAACAACAGUUAGAAAUGACUGCUAAUACCGGAUGAUGACUUCAGUCAAAAGAUUUAUCGCCCAGGGAUGAGCCCGCGUCGGAUUAGCUAGUUGGUGAGGUAAAGGCUCACCAAGGCGACGAUCCGUAGCUGGUCUGAGAGGAUGAUCAGCCACACUGGGACUGAGACACGGCCCAGACUCCUACGGGAGGCAGCAGUGGGGAAUAUUGGACAAUGGGCGAAAGCCUGAUCCAGCAAUGCCGCGUGAGUGAUGAAGGCCUUAGGGUUGUAAAGCUCUUUUACCCGGGAUGAUAAUGACAGUACCGGGAGAAUAAGCCCCGGCUAACUCCGUGCCAGCCGCCGCCGUAACAC
rnacentral:rRNA from 1 species